ensembl:miRNA
AGGGGUGCUGAGUGACUCCCUGCUGUUGUCAGAUUGGAGCCAUAGGCAAUUUUGACAAAGACAGAAGGAGCUCAACACUUUACCCU